rnacentral:rRNA from 1 species
AGUGAACGCUGGCGGUAGGCCUAACACAUGCAAGUCGAACGGCAGCACAGUAAGAGCUUGCUCUUACGGGUGGCGAGUGGCGGACGGGUGAGGAAUACAUCGGAAUCUACUUUUUCGUGGGGGAUAACGUAGGGAAACUUACGCUAAUACCGCAUACGACCUACGGGUGAAAUCAGGGGAUCUUCGGACCUUGCGCGAUUGAAUGAGCCGAUGUCGGAUUAGCUAGUUGGCGGGGUAAAGGCCCACCAAGGCGACGAUCCGUAGCUGGUCUGAGAGGAUGAUCAGCCACACUGGAACUGAGACACGGUCCAGACUCCUACGGGAGGCAGCAGUGGGGAAUAUUGGACAAUGGGCGCAAGCCUGAUCCAGCCAUACCGCGUGAGUGAAGAAGGCCUUCGGGUUGUAAAGCCCUUUUGUUGGGAAAGAAAAGCAGCAGGUUAAUACCCCGAUGUUCUGACGGUACCCAAAGAAUAAGCACCGGCUAACUUCGUG